rnacentral:rRNA from 1 species
UACGUAGGGUGCAGGCGUUAAUCGGAAUUACUGGGCGUAAAGCGCGCGUAGGCGGCUUUGCAAGUCGGGUGUGAAAUCCCCAGGCUCAACCUGGGAACUGCAUUCGAGACUGCAUUGCUAGAGUAUGGGAGAGGUGAGUGGAAUUCCCAGUGUAGAGGUGAAAUUCGUAGAUAUUGGGAAGAACACCAGUGGCGAAGGCGGCGACCUGGACAGAUAUUGACGCUGAGGUGCGAAAGCGUGGGGAGCAAACAGG